rnacentral:rRNA from 1 species
GAUUGAAAGCUCUUUCUUGAUUCAGUGGGUGGUGGUGCAUGGCCGUUCUUAGUUGGUGGAGUGAUUUGUCUGGUUAAUUCCGUUAACGAACGAGACCUUAACCUGCUAAAUAGUCACGCGAACCGGUCCGCAAGGGCUCAAAGUUCGCGGCUCGACUUCUUAGAGGGACUAUUCGCACCCGCCAGCGAAUGGAAGUUUGAGGCAAUAACAGGUCUGUGAUGCCCUUAGAUGUUCUCGGCCGCACGCGCGUUACACUGACGGAGUCAACGAGCGUUUUUCCUUGCCCGAUAGGGUUGGGUAACCUCCUGAAACUCCGUCGUGAUGGGGAUAGAUCAUUGCAAUUAUUGAUCUUGAACG